rnacentral:rRNA from 1 species
AUUGAACGCUGGCGGUAGGCCUAACACAUGCAAGUCGAACGCGAAAGUCCUUCGGAUGAGUAGAGUGGCGGACGGGUGGAGUAACGCGUAGGAAUCUAUCCUGUAGUGGGGGAGUAACGUUUCGAAAGGAACGCUAAUACCGCAUACGCCCCAAGGGGGAAAGCGGGGGAGUCUUCGGACCUCGUGCUAUAGGAGGAGCCUGCGUCGGAUUAGCUAGUUGGUGAGGUAAAGGCUCACCAAGGCGACGAUCCGUAGCUGGUCUGAGAGGAUGAUCAGCCACACCGGAACUGAGACACGGUCCGGACUCCUACGGGAGGCAGCAGUGGGGAAUAUUGCGCAAUGGGCGAAAGCCUGACGCAGCCAUACCGCGUGUGUGAAGAAGGCCUUCGGUUC